GAUGAACGCUGGCGGCGUGCCUAAUACAUGCAAGUCGAGCGAACAGACGAGGAGCUUGCUCCUCUGACGUUAGCGGCGGACGGGUGAGUAACACGUGGAUAACCUACCUAUAAGACUGGGAUAACUUCGGGAAACCGGAGCUAAUACCGGAUAAUAUAUUGAACCGCAUGGUUCAAUAGUGAAAGACGGUUUUGCUGUCACUUAUAGAUGGAUCCGCGCCGCAUUAGCUAGUUGGUAAGGUAACGGCUUACCAAGGCAACGAUGCGUAGCCGACCUGAGAGGGUGAUCGGCCACACUGGAACUGAGACACGGUCCAGACUCCUACGGGAGGCAGCAGUGGGGAAUCUUCGGCAAUGGGCGAAAGCCUGACGGAGCAACGCCGCGUGAGUGAAGAAGGUCUUCGGAUCGUAAAACACUGUUAUUAGGGAAGAACAAAUGUGUAAGUAACUAGGCACGUCUUGACGGUACCGAAUCAGAAAGCCACGGCUAACUACGUG
rnacentral:rRNA from 1 species